CAAACUCUCGGGAAAACACAAUCCAGUUGUUGCAUAAUCAAUUUGCAUAUUUGGGCCCCAUAGAAUGAUCCUUUCAUCAGCCAACGAAUGUCAACGUAUCAUCGGAAAUUAUACAAGCUACAAAGUACAAAGGAACAAUAGCAAGAUUUUCACUUAAAAGCUGUUGUUCACUCAACUCGAGAAUCCUAACGUUGCUAGCAUAAAAUAUUAUUAUUUAUUUGUCAUAAGAUGGUUGUGAUGGCUUGAAAAGUUCUUUUUCCCUUUUUCUUUUGGUUGUAAUGUUUAUCAGAGGAUGAUGCAAUUUCUGGUUUAUUUCGUAAUAGGUACAAAGCUAAUGGAUUUUUAGAAGGAUAAUUGCCUUGUGGAAAUUGUUUUGAUAGAAAUCUUAAGGAUUGGUGAUGAUAACUGAUGGUGGAUCCAAAUCAAGAGAAUCUAUGAAGUUGAAGCCAUGCUUAAGAGAGUGCUCUGACAUGUUUAAUUAAGAGUGAAUUCCAAUAAGCAUGAGGAAAACAUAGCAUGCCACACUAAAACGAGUCUCAGACUGCACUUAAACUUGGGACACAAAAUUCCUAAUGAAUUGAAGAUUUAGUCACACUUAAGCGUGCCCCGUCCAGUGCUUAAGCAAGACUAGAGCUGAAGGAACCAAGCGUGUUGUCACGCUUGAGUAAGAAUCAACUUGCCCUUUAACAUGACUGGGUACAUGGUAGCUUGUCAGAGGCUCAUUGCAAAGACUUUUAGGCCCAAUGAUUACGAGUGACCUAACUUGUUGGAGAUCUGAAAGUGUGUUUUGAAGUGUAUGUCAACUAUGUAGCUUUGAUCUCCAUGGCUUUUUCACCAAUCUCCAGCAUCUUUCCACCAUUUUCUCUUGUUCUUCCUUCUUCCAUGUGUAGCUAGAUUUCUAGUUGUUGGGGCUUGAUGUAGCCAAACCAAACUUCAUGCAUGUAUACAUUUUAAGUUUUCAAUCAAAGUUAUUAUUCCACGUUA